rnacentral:rRNA from 1 species
UACAGAGGUCUCAAGCGUUGUUCGGAUUCAUUGGGCGUAAAGGGUACGUAGGCGGCGCGGUAAGUCGGGUGUGAAAUCUCGGAGCUUAACUCCGAAACUGCAUUCGAUACUGCCGUGCUUGAGGACUGGAGAGGAGACUGGAAUUUACGGUGUAGCGGUGAAAUGCGUAGAUAUCGUAAGGAAGACCAGUGGCGAAGGCGGGUCUCUGGACAGUUCCUGACGCUGAGGCACGAAGGUCAGGGGAGCAAACGGG